GCACACCAGCAAGUGCCAGCAGCACCCUGGGUAGCCUGAUAACGAUGAGUACAUCCUCUCCUUUGAGACCAUCGACAAGAUGAGAACGAGUCUCCUCCUACUCCUCCCUCAAACUCCCUCAUAGGGGUGUCGUUCAACAGCGUUUACACACAGAUCUGGAGGGUUCUCCUGCACCUGGCGGCCGACCCGUUCCCAGAGGUGUCCGACCUGGCCAUGAAGGUCCUCAACAGCAUCGCCUACAAGGCCCUGUCUCUGUCUCUGUCUCCCCAGGCCACUAUGAACGCUCGGCCCCAGAGGAUCCUGGACUCUGGCUCU